CAGAUUCUCUGGUGUCUCGGAGAGGCUCUAUUCUCUGACAGUGUAAUCAUGAAGCCAUUAUUUGUAUCCCUUCUCCUGCUGGCCGCCCCAUCGUGGGUCCUGUCACAAGUGCAGCUGGUGGAGUCAGGGCCUGGGACUGUAAAACCCUCAGAGACUCUCAGCCUCACCUGCUCCAUCUCAGGCGCCUCCUCAGACACUCUGGGCAGUAGUUGUUGCUGGUGGCACUGGAUCCGGCAGAGUCCCGGGAAAGGGCUGGAAUGGAUGGGGCAUAUAGCUCAAGGGGGAAGCACAAACUACGCCACUUCCCUCCAGGGUCGCAUCACCAUCUCGGUGAACCCUUCCAAGAACCAGUUCUCCCUGCAGCUCCGCUCGCUGACAGCUGCAGACACCGCCACGUAUUACUGCGCCAGACACACAGUGACACAGAGCAGAAAGGGGAACGUUCACUCCCCUGGCCAUUAUUAUCACGGGACAGGGGCUGUCACCUCAGAGAACCGAAAUGGGUGA